GCUCGUAAUCGGAAUCAUCCGAUGAGUCUUCUUCGGUGUCAGAAUUAAUUUCUGGUAAUAUAUGUCUUUCCUCAUCGCCAGAGUCUUCGUCUGUUUCUUGAUUUGGAUCAACAUCAAUAAGCCUUGGCUCUUCAUCACGAAUUCGCACUGAACGACCCGCUUUAAAAUUAUUAAGGCGAACGGUAGAGGAGUUAGGAAUACCUAUUGCUUUGGGCUCUUGAUACGCAACAUCCUCUUCCUCGUCCUCUGUAAUACCCCGGAAUUUUAAUAUUAGUUUCUAAUAUUAUUUUGGAAAUUAUUUAAGUAAGAGUUGUAUGGAUUUGUGGUUUAGUGAGUGGACUGGAAGUGACACGACCCACCCCAAAUUUCACCCUGAAACCCGGAGUAAGUCGUGCGGGGACCACCUCCAAGGAAAAUUUACUGAAAAGAUUGAGAAAAUCUCCCUUGCAGAUGGACAACCCUAACUCGAAAAUUCCAAAUUUCACUCUUAAUUCAACACUUCCAAACAUCACAUAAUAUACAAUAAUCCUAAAGUAUUCAGAGCUACUAAACACAAACAGAAGCAAGAAAACACGAGUAGGUUGAACAUGUAACCUACUGAUGAAAACUGGCAGAAAUACGGGUGACUAUGCCUCGCCUCCUACUAGAUCCAACCCGAACUCUACAGACUGGGCAAUUUAAAACGAAAGGCCCAGGGGAAAACAUUUAACAACAUUAGAGUGAGUGGACAAAAAUAAAAUAAAGGAAAUAAUUCUUUAUGCUUUCCCAAUUUUUACUUUUCCAUAGAAAAGAAAAUAUGCUGCAUGCGACAGCUCAAAACGCUCAACACGAAAACUGGAAUUUCAUGACUGGCACCGGCCAGUCUCCAACGCUCAAUAAAAAUACAGCCUUUCAGGCUAAAAUAAAAAUAAUGUAUGUAUUACACUCGUUAUAUCCCUUGUAUGAAUUUUCUUGAAACAACUAAAACAAAUAGCAAAUUCACACAAGGCUACAACGCUUGCGUCUAACGCUCACGUUGCACCA
rnacentral:lncRNA from 1 species